GACGAACGCUGGCGGCGUGCUUAACACAUGCAAGUCGAACGGAAAGGCCCUGCUUUUGUGGGGUGCUCGAGUGGCGAACGGGUGAGUAACACGUGAGUAACCUGCCCUUGACUUUGGGAUAACUUCAGGAAACUGGGGCUAAUACCGGAUAGGAGCUCCUGCUGCAUGGUGGGGGUUGGAACGUUUCGGCGGUUGGGGAUGGACUCGCGGGUUAUCAGCUUGUUGGUGGGGUAUUGGCUUACCAAGGCUUUGACGGUUAGCCGGACUGGGAGGGUGACCGGCGACAUUGGGACUGAGAUACGGCCCAGAGUCGUACGGGGGGCAGCAGUGGGGAAUAUGGCACAAUGGGCGGAAGCCUGAUGCAGCAACGCCGCGUGCGGGAUGACGGCCUUCGGGUUGUAAACCGCUUGCGCCUGUGACGAAGCGUGAGUGACGGUAAUGGGUAAAGAAGCACCGGCUAACUACGUG
rnacentral:rRNA from 1 species